AACGUAGGUGGCAAGCGUUAUCCGGAUUCACUGGGCGUAAAGCGCGUGCAGGUGGCUCCGUAAGUUGGACGUUAAAUCUUUCGGCCUAACCGGGAGUGGUCGUUCAAUACUGCGGGGCUUGAGGGCAGAAGAGGGGGGUGGAAUUGCUGGUGUAGUGGUGAAAUGCGUAGAUAUCAGCAGGAACACCUGUGGCGAAAGCGGCCCCCUGGUCUGCUCCUGACACUCAGACGCGAAAGCUAGGGGAGUGAACGGGAUUAGAAACCCCGGUAAUCCUAGCCGUAAACGAUGGAUGCUAGGUGUGGGUGGUAUUGACCCCAUCCGUGCCGAAGCCAACGCGUUAAGCAUCCCGCCUGGGGACUACGGCCGCAAGGUUAAAACUCAAAGGAAUUGACGGGGACCCGCACAAGCAGCGGAGCGUGUGGUUUAAUUCGAUGCUACACGAAGAACCUUACCCAGGUUUGACAUGCAGGUAGUAGUGAAGCGAAAGCGGAACGACUCGCAAGAGAGCCUGCACAGGUGCUGCAUGGCUGUCGUCAGCUCGUGCCGUGAGGUGUUUGGUUAAGUCCACUAACGAGCGCAACCCCUGUCGUCAGUUACAUGUGUCUGACGAGACUGCCGGCCUUAAGCCGGAGGAAGGUGGGGAUGAUGUCAAGUCAGCAUGGCCUUUAUAUCUGGGGCUACACACACGCUACAAUGGCCGGUACAAUGGGUUGCCAACCCGUGAGGGGGAGCUAAUCCUAUAAAGCCGGUCUCAGUUCGGAUUGUAGGCUGCAACUCGCCUACAUGAAGCCGGAGUUGCUAGUAAACGCGCGUCAGCUAUAGUGCGUUGAAUACGUUCCCGGGUCUUGUACACAUCGCCCGUCACGUCAUGGGAGCUGGUAACACCUGAAGCCGCUACGCUAACCGCAAGGAGGCAGGCGUCGAGGGUGGGACUGGUGACUGGGAGG
rnacentral:rRNA from 1 species